UACGUAGGGUGCAAGCGUUAUCCGGAAUUAUUGGGCGUAAAGAGCUCGUAGGCGGCCAGUUGCGUCUGCUGUGAAAUCCCGGGGCUCAACCCCGGGCGUGCAGUGGAUACGGGCUGGCUAGAGGCAGGCAGGGGAGAACGGAAUUCCCGGUGUAGCGGUGAAAUGCGCAGAUAUCGGGAGGAACGACCGGUGGCGAAGGCGGUUCUCUGGGCCUGUACUGACGCUGAGGAG
rnacentral:rRNA from 1 species